GCCAUCCUAGCUCAGCUGGUAGAGCGCAUGGGGGUUUAACCGUGUGGUCGUGGGUGGGUUCGAUUCCUACAGAAGGGCG